AAACCAACAGGGAUUGCCCUAGUAACGGCGAGUGAAGCGGCAACAGCUCAAAUUUGAAAUCGGCCCACCGGUCGAGUUGUAAUUUGCAGAGGAUGCUUCUGGGCAGCGGCCGGUCUAAGUUCCUUGGAACAGGACGUCAUAGAGGGUGAGAAUCCCGUAUGUGACUGGCGCGCACCCUCCACGUAGCUCCUUCGACGAGUCGAGUUGUUUGGGAAUGCAGCUCUAAAUGGGAGGUAAAUUUCUUCUAAAGCUAAAUACCGGCCAGAGACCGAUAGCGCACAAGUAGAGUGAUCGAAAGAUGAAAAGCACUUUGGAAAGAGAGUUAAACAGCACGUGAAAUUGUUGAAAGGGAAGCGCUUGCCACCAGACUUGUCGGCGGUGUUCCGCCGGUCUUUUGACCGGUCUACUCGCCGCCGACAGGCCAACAUCGUCUGGGGCCGCCGGAUAAGACCUUAGGAAUGUAGCUCCUCGGAGUGUUAUAGCCUCUGGUGAUGCGGCGCGCCCCGGGCGAGGUCCGCGCUUCGGCAAGGAUGUUGGCGUAAUGGUGGUCAGCGGC
rnacentral:rRNA from 1 species